AGAGCAGGAUGCAGCCAAGGAUGACUUGCCGGCGCCAGCGCUAGCCACCAGCUAGCAGUACUGCCACCACCAGCCGCCGGCGAGGUUGGCCGGAGACUGGCAUCCGGCAAGUUUGUCCUUGGCUACACCUUGCUCUCU
rnacentral:pre_miRNA from 1 species